GAUGGGAAAACCUUCAAGAAGCCAAGACGUCCCUAUGAGAAGGAGCGAUUGGAUGCUGAGUUGAGACUUGUGGGAGAGUAUGGGCUUCGCUGCAAGAGGGAACUCUGGAGGGUUCAAUACGCACUGAGCCGCAUCCGAAAUGCUGCGAGGGAUCUUCUCACUCUCGAUGAGAAGAACCCACGACGUAUUUUUGAGGGUGAGGCCCUUCUCAGGAGGAUGCACAGGUAUGGCUUCUUGGAAGAGAGCCAGAACAAGCUUGAUUAUGUGUUGGCCCUCACUGUGGAGAACUUUCUUGAGCGUCGUCUUCAGACCCUUGUGUUCAAGAGUGGCAUGGCUAAGUCAAUUCACCAUGCUCGAGUGCUCAUCAGGCAGAGGCACAUUAGGUAUAAUUUAUGCACUGUGUUUCCUUUUAGUUCAUAUCUGCUUUUUUCAGUGUCUGUAAAAUCUUCAAAUGCUUUUUCACAUUUGUUUCUUUUCUAUUAUUCUAACAUUUGACCAACAUGAAUUUAAAUUGCUUGUUCCAUCUCGAUGUCUAUUACUGAGUUUGUUGGUUUUAACCAUUACUUACUGAUCUUUAAUUAUUUGAUUAUUUUCUAGUUGCCUUUGGGUUGUUUAGCUGACAUUUGCUUUUGGCUUUAAAUUUUGUAAAAUUAUCUUGAGUUUGUGAAUUGUGUUUUUAUACACGUUCAGGUUAUAAUUAUAAUAUUUGAAACUUGCCCACUAAUUGAUAAUUGUAGUGUCAUAAUAUAUGUAAUGAUUCUAGCAUGUAUGGUUUACCAGUAUUGUGGACGAUCUUUUGGAUAUUAUAAUGUUUAGCAAGUUUGAUUGUACUUGAGUUUACCUUUGUAUUCUUGGGGCAUUAAUAUGCCCUGCAUGCACUACCCAGCAAAUGCUUUUGGCUCUGUUAAUCGGUGUAUUCAAAUUCUGUCACAGCUAACAUCAGGACUGCUUUUGGUUUUUUUUCAUAAAAUGUGUUGUGCUUUUUUAUCUAUUUGAUUACUUUUAACGUUGCUAUGCCCUGUCCCUUUGAGUCGACUGUUUCUCUUUGAAUGUAUGAAGUAAUGAUACGUUGUUCUUGUUUUACAAGGUUUAUUCGAGCUGGGUUGCUUUGAUGUUCUAACCUUAAUGUUUUAGUAAGAUUGUUUUGAGGUCUUUAAGCGUGGUUAUUUUGUAUAUUAAGGAAUAUCUAUAUUUCUGAUUAUCAGGGUUGGAAGGCAGCUUGUCAACAUUCCCUCAUUUGUAGUGAGGGUUGAUUCCCAGAAGCACAUUGAAUUCUCACUCACAAGUCCAUUUGGAGGCGGGCGCCCCGGAAGAGUGAAGAGAAGGAACAUUAAGGCUGCUGCCAAGAAGGCCGCAGGUGGAGAUGGAGAUGAAGAGGAUGAAGAAUAAAUUACCUUGUGUGAGCAGAUAGUUUUUUUAUGGUUACAGUAGGAACUCUGGCUGAACUUUGCAAAUCGACUUAUCUUCUCUUAAGUUUUAUGUUUUUGCUAAUUUUCUUCCUAUAAUAGGAGGUUUUGCUUGCUUUGUGCUUUACAGACUACUCAUUGAGAGAAUUGUUUUUGUUUUUUGGGAUGUACUCUUUGAUCCUUAAGCUUUUUUAUGCCUAAAUUAAAUCUCCGUGUAGUUAGCUUUUUUGUGCGCAUAUAUAUAUAUUAGAUUUAAUGGAAAAUUGUCGCUACUGCAAUGGCAUACCGAUGCGAUUGAAGCGUGCUUUUGUUAUAGAUGUGAUGUGUGUCAAAAAAUUUGUGCUCCUGGAGAGUUUCAUCUAUCAAGAAUAAGCUUGGGCUUGGGCUUUAGAUGGGUUUGUCAUUAGCUCUCUCAUUGGGCUUGUGCUUGGGCUUUUUCACACAAGAUUAGAAUCGUUGACGGUCCUCGCGCACACGUGUGAAAAGCGUAGCAUAAUCAAUGGAAAUUAGUAGCAUAAUCAAUGGAAAUUAGAAUGAGGAUAGGUUGGAAUGAGAAAGAAAUUUUAAUGUUUAUUUGAUAAAAAUAAAUGAGAAUGAAAAUUAGAAUGAGAAUGAGCUGGAUUAGAGAUGAAAUUUUAAUGUUUAUUUGACAAAAAUAAAUGAGAAUGAGAAUGUGUUGGAAUGAUGUGUUUAUUUAGUAAAAUAAAUAGGAACGAGGUGAUAAUGAAAAUUAAUUUAUUAAAAUAUUUAUAGUAUUAAUAAUUAAUUUAUCAUUAUUAAUAAUAUUAUCAUUGUUAUUAUUAUUAUUAUUAACAAUAAUUAAUAAUAACUAAAAUAAUAAAGUUAAUAAAAUUUAAUUUUAAUAUUAUCAUUAUUAUUUUUAUUUUUAUUAUUUUUAUUAUUUUUAUUUUUAUUAUUGUUAUUAAAUUUUAUUAACUUUAUUAUUUUAGUUAUUAUUAAUUAUUGUUAAUAUUAUUUUUAUUAAUAUUAUCAUUAUUAACAAUAAAAAUAAUGAUAANNNNNNNNNNNNNNNNNNNNNNNNNNNNNNNNNNNNNNNNNNNNNNNNNNNNNNNNNNNNNNNNNNNNNNNNNNNNNNNNNNNNNNNNNNNNNNNNNNNNNNNNNNNNNNNNNNNNNNNNNNNNNNNNNNNNNNNNNNNNNNNNNNNNNNNNNNNNNNNNNNNNNNNNNNNNNNNNNNNNNNNNNNNNNNNNNNNNNNNNNNNNNNNNNNNNNNNNNNNNNNNNNNNGUACGGUACAGCAGCAAUAAUUAAUAAUAACUAAAAAAUAAAAAAUAAUAAUAAUAAAUGUUAAUAAUGAUAAUAUUAAAAAUAAUAAUAAUAAUAAUAAUAAUAAUAAUAAUAACAACAACAAUAAUAAUUAAAAUAAUAAUAAUAUUGUUAAUAAUGAUAAAUUAAUUAUUUUUUAGUCUCAAAUUAUAUGGGACCCAUAUAUUUUAUUCACAUUCACAAAUUACAUUUUAUCAAGUAAACAUGAGUUAUAUUCUCAUUCCCUAAACCCUCAAAUAAACACAUUAUUAAUAUUCUUUUAAAAUCUCAGUUUGUAAAAUUAUGUCAAAGCAUAAAUAUAAAUUUAAUUGAACUAGAACUUAAUAUAACUUAAUAUAUGAUAUAGUUACUUUAUAUAAAAAUUUUGAAUAAUUAAGAAAUAAAUUACUUAAUAAUAAAAUUUUUUAUCAUGAAACAGUAUGUUUACUAUUGUUUAAUUUAUUCUAAAUGAUAGUAAGAUUAACUAAAUUUCUAUUGUAAUUUUUUGCUCUUUUUUGUAAUUUUACCUAAGAAAAUUUUUUGCUCUUUAUAAGAAUUUUAAAGGAGUGUUAGAAGCUCCCCGCUCAUUAUUUUAAAUUUUGUCAAAUAUUUGAUCCAACUUGUAGUCUGUUUUGGAGUGUGGUGAGGUAGAUAGACUUUAAAAGUGUUUGGUAAUACUUGUAGUUGGGCUUUAGCAGCUUAGCAAUUUUUUUUUCCCAACUUAUUCCACAGUUAUAAUUGUUACUCCACAUCAACUACAGGUUAAAAGUUACAGCAUCUUACUCCCAAACAUACCCUUGUUCUGUUAGAACUUGAGGUUGCUUCCGUAUUCAACAAAUGUGGGGGCGGCAGAAGACUCGCUUUUAUUAUAUUAGGGCUUGGUAAGAUGCACAAAACUUAAAGCCUAAAAGUUAUUUUUAUAACUUUAAAAAUAGUUUUAUUGAUUCAACUUUUUAAAUGCUACUCUUAGGAUAAUAUAUAAUACAUUAUAAAAUUAUAAUGUAGGAAAAAGUCUGUUUUACCCUCGGGUAUGAUAAAAUAGUUCAUUUCUUUUCUAUUAUUCAAACAAUAAUUCAACAUAUCCUUUUGUGAAUUUAUAGUUAAUUUAAUUUAUAAUUCAUUAAACGCAAAAUAAGAUUGAAUAAAUUCAAAUUAUUUUAAAAUAAAAAUAUAAAAGGUAAUUAAAUAAAAUCUAACUUUAUACAUAGAUCUAAAAUUAGUUUAAGAAUAAUUUAAUGAAACAAAAAUAACACUAAAGAAUAUGCAACAUUUGUGUGUGAGUGUGUGCAAUAUAUAUGGGUAUGUGUGUUUUUUCAAUGAAGUCAAAUAAAUUUUUGAACAAAUAAUAACAAUAAUAUUUCAAUCAAGUAUUACUAUUCACAUUAAGGUUAGAAAUAAACUAAAAAUUUUUUUUAAAAAGUAUCCAUACUAACAGUUAAUUAACGAAAGGCAUUUUUAAAAUAUUAUUUAAAAAAUAAAAAUCAGAUAAAUUAUUACAUCAAACCUUAAUGGUGAAAAAGGCAUUCUUCCUUGCAAUGCACCAUAGCAGCCCCCAGUCGGCCAUUCAUUAUUUCCUUAAAGACCGUACCUAAAAAUUACAUUGAAAACACGGGGCUGCUUCUGAAUGUUGUAAGCUUAUCUCAACAUGUUCACUGCCUUUUAUCAAUCUGCCUAUAAAAAUACUGAUCUGAUCGAAUGUCCAAUCAAUUGAGAAAAUUAAGGCUUAAAGUCAGUCAUGAUCCUCUUGACAUCAGUAGUGUAAGAUGUCAUGGAAUGUCAGCUUCACAAUUACUGGCUUUGCCUAAUUAUUGUGGCGAAAAUGAUCUAUUUCUUCAUAAUCACACCGUGCAAUGCAUCCAUUUUUUGGGCUAAGUCAUAUGAAUUUUCCAAAGUCUUUAUGUAUGUUUGGCGGUAAGUAAACUUAGAUGGGUGGGGGAUUUCUUUUUAAUUAAGUUUUCUCUCCUUCAAUUUGGUGUGAAGGUAUCUUGUAGGCCUUAUGAGAUCUAUGGUGAGCUAAAGUUAGAUAUACAUACGGGCUUUAUAAUCGCCUUUGCUUGUUGGUUCCCUUUUUAUUGGCAUCUCAAUUUAAACACUACCAGAUUUGAUAUUUGGAAAAGUCCUAAUGUAUUACAUGAAUAAUGAAAUAGUGAAAUGUGAUACAACAUUUUUUUUUAACCUAAACAUAAGUCCCAUUGAAAAAACAUAACAUUACAAUGGUAUAUUGUCAUGAUACAUUCAACGUAGGAAAACAAACAUAAAUAUCUAUUAUCGUUAAACAUAUUGACAAUCAAGAAGAAAAAAAUACAUUUAAGAUAGUAAAGAAUACUUUCAUGUAUUAAAAAAAAAAUUAUGUGUUCACAUCUAUUGAACCUGUAUUAUUUGAGCUCUUUCAUAUAAUUCUUUUUGUACAUAUAUAGCUUGUUAUCCCCACUUAUUUGAUGCAUGAAACUUGUAGAUCUAUUCUCAUAAGCUGAUCAAAGGUACCCUUAGAAUGUAGCUAUAACUUUGAAGAAUGAAAGGGUAUUCCACUCAUUUCAUUAGGGAUAUAGACCUAUUUGAUAUAAAUGGACAAAUUGUGUCCUUUCUUGGAAAGUAUUAGCAAAUCAGAAACCCAGUUGUUAUUUUGAAAAAUAACAAUUAUUGAUCCUCAAAACACAUGAAUUGUUGAACCAAAAUCAAUUUAAGUGCGCUUAAUGCAACGACAACGACAAUAAUAUGAAUUGUUGGUUAUAUUCCAUUACAUGCUUAAUGUGUGAACUGUUGGUUGUUAUUUCUUGUGCAAGUCAUGUAACAUAUUAUAGUAAUGAAUCUCUAGCAUAUAAAAAUAAGAGUAAAAAGGAAAUGAAUAAAAGCCUAGCACAAAAAGUUAAAAGAAAAAAAGGAAAAGAAAAAAAAAAUCUUAUCUUAUUGAAUAUCACCUUCCAAACGCUAAAUUUAAUUUUGAGAUUAUGGAGGAAAUUAAACAUAUAUAACAUACAAGUAAUAGCCAUGCUCGUGAUGAUCUAUUAAUAAUAUCACUAAAAUAAAUAAAUAAAUAUUACAAACGGGCGCAUUAAAAUGUUAUGAAAUGGGCCAGCGAUUUUUCACGAAAGCCCAUUGACAUUAAUAGCUCAAGCAACUAGGGUUAGGGUUUUGCAAAAUCAUAUAUAUGUAUAUAAUAGCAGUCGUUAUAAGAAGACACGGCCUCUUUACGCCAUUUGCUUAGGCUUUUUCGAAGAUCGCAGAGAGAGAGUGAGGGUAGCACCAGCGGCGCGCAAAGAUGGUGCACGUUUCAUUCUACCGCAACUGUAUGUGCUUUUGUUCAUAAUUGUUCUCUUUGUUAAAUAAUAAUAAAAUACUUUGUAUAUGAUACUUGUUUCACUUUGAUACCGUCUCGAUCUCGUUUGUCAGUGUUGUGUAAUAUUAUUGUUUGGAUCCAAAGAACGUGAAGGAAACUUGAGACCUUUUUGUAUGUACUAUCUGAUCCAAAUAUCGGUAAUUGAGCAUCUGUUUUUUUAGGUUUAGCCAGUAGAAUGUUUGGUAGCCGGUAUUAUAUUUGUGUGCAGAUGAAGUCGGGAAUUGUUUAAAGCUCAUUAUAGUACUCUUCUAUGACGUAUUAAUUGUUGAUGGUUACCGGUUCUUGUGAUAUUUGAGCUUAUGAUUGAUUAUGAAUCGAUGUGUGAACAGAUGGGAAAACCUUCAAGAAGCCAAGACGUCCCUAUGAGAAGGAGCGAUUGGAUGCUGAGUUGAGACUUGUGGGAGAGUAUGGGCUUCGCUGCAAGAGGGAACUCUGGAGGGUUCAAUAUGCACUGAGCCGCAUCCGAAAUGCUGCGAGGGAUCUUCUCACUCUCGAUGAGAAGAACCCACGUCGUAUUUUCGAGGGUGAGGCUCUUCUCAGGAGGAUGCACAGGUACGGCUUCUUGGAAGAGAGCCAGAACAAGCUUGAUUAUGUGUUGGCCCUCACUGUGGAGAACUUUCUUGAGCGUCGUCUCCAGACCCUUGUGUUCAAGAGUGGCAUGGCUAAGUCAAUUCACCAUGCUCGAGUGCUCAUCAGGCAGAGGCACAUUAGGUAUAAUUUAUGCACUGUGUCUCCUUUUAGUCCGUAUCUGCUUUUUUCAGUGUCUGUAAAAUCUUCAAAUGCUUUUUCUCAUUUGUUUCUUUUCUAUUAUGCUAACAUUUGACCAACAUGAAUUUAAAUUGCUUGUUCCAUCUGGAUGCCUAUUACUGAGUUUGUUGGUUUUAACCAUUACUUACUGAUCUUUAAUUAUUUGAUUAUUUUCUAGUUGCCUUUGGGUUGUUAAGCUGACAUUUGGUUUUUGGCUUUAAAAUUUGUUAAAUUAUCUCGAGUUUGUGAAUUGUGUUUUUAUACACGUUCAGGUUAUAAUUAUAAUAUUUGAAACUUGCCCACUAAUUGAUAAUUGUAGUGUCAUAAUAUAUGUAAUGAUUCUAGCAUGUAUGGUUUACCAGUAUUGUGGAUGAUCUUUUGGAUAUUAUAAUGUUUAGCAAGUUUGAUUGUUUACCUUUUUAUUCUUGGGGCAUUAAUAUGCCGUGCAUGCACUACCCAAAAUGCUUUUGGCUUUGUUAAUUGGUGUAUUCAAAUUCUGUCACUGCUGACAUCAGGACUGCUUUUGGUUUUUUUCAUAAAAUUUGUUGCGUUUUUUUAUCUAUUUGAUUGCUUUAAUGUUGCUAGGCCCUGUCCCUUUGAGUCGUCUUAUUUGAUUUUGUCUUUGUCAAGAUCUUAUUUUUUCAAUUUGUGACAAGGAAGUUAAAACUUUUUUUUUUUUUCUGUUGGUCAAUUAGCCGACUGUUUCUCUGUGAAUGUAUACAGUAAUGAUAUGUUCUUUUUUCUCAAAGCUUAUUUGAGCUGGGUUGCUUUGAUGUUCUAACCUUAAUGUUUUAGUAAGAUUGUUUUGAGGUCUUUAAGCGUGGUUAUUUUGUAUAUUAAUGAAUAUCUAUAUUUCUGAUUAUCAGGGUUGGAAGGCAGCUUGUCAACAUUCCCUCAUUUGUAGUGAGGGUUGAUUCCCAGAAGCACAUUGAAUUCUCACUGACAAGUCCAUUCGGAGGUGGCCGCCCUGGAAGAGUGAAGAGAAGGAACAUCAAGGCUGCUGCCAAGAAGGCCGCAGGUGGAGAUGGAGAU
rnacentral:lncRNA from 1 species